UACGUAGGGGGCAAGCGUUGUCCGGAUUUAUUGGGCGUAAAGAGCGUGUAGGCGGUUCGGUAGGUCCGUUGUGAAAACUCGAGCUCAACCUCGAGACGCCGAUGGAAACCCUCGAACUAGAGUCCGGAAGAGGAGAAUGGAAUUCCUGGUGUAGCGGUGAAAUGCGCAGAUAUCAGGAGGAACACCGGUGGCGAAGGCGGGUCUCUGGGCCGAUACUGACGCUGGAGGAGCGAAAGCGUGGGGAGCGAACAGG
rnacentral:rRNA from 1 species